rnacentral:rRNA from 1 species
AGAGUUUGAUCAUGGCUCAGAGCGAACGCUGGCGGCAGGCCUAACACAUGCAAGUCGAACGAACUCUUCGGAGUUAGUGGCGGACGGGUGAGUAACACGUGGGAACGUGCCUUUAGGUUCGGAAUAACUCAGGGAAACUUGUGCUAAUACCGAAUGUGCCCUUCGGGGAAAGAUUUAUCGCCUUUAGAGCGGCCCGCGUCUGAUUAGCUAGCUGGUGAGGUAAAGGCUCACCAAGGCGACGAUCAGUAGCUGGUCUGAGAGGAUGGAUCAGCCACAUUGGGACUGAGACACGGCCCAAACUCCUACGGGAGGCAGCAGUGGGGAAUCUUGCGCAAUGGGCGAAAGCCUGACGCAGCCAUGCCGCGUGAAUGAUGAAGGUCUUAGGAUUGUAAAAUUCUUUCACCGGGGACGAUAAUGACGGUACCCGGAGAAGAAGCCCCGGCUAACUUCGUG